UCCCAAGGCCCAAGAGCCAUCUAGGGCUGU
rnacentral:piRNA from 1 species